UGAGUAAGGUAGCCUUCAUUGACAUCUCAGGGCCAGAAUUUUUGUAUACAAUCUUUAGCGAGGACAGGAAAGGAUGGACUGAGAACUUCUAGAGGAAGGCAGGUCAUUUAAGAUGGAAGAACUCACCACGAAUCUGGGCCACACCUUCUGUUGGAAGCCUAUAUAAGGACAUGGAAGAAGGAAGCUUUUGUUCUUUGCUUCCCUAAUCUCAGCUUGCUAGCAAGUCCAUUCCUUCACUGGCAUCAAAGCCUACUUCUUCAGGAUUCCAGCAUAUAGUGAAGACCAGCUGAGACAUUAUACUCCAUGGACUGAGCACCUACUGGAUUCUUGGACUUUCAACUCAUAGCCAACCAUUGUUCAAUUAGCUGGACCAUAACUCAUUCUAGUAUAUUCUAUUCCUAUCUCUAUAAAGAUUCAUCCUAUAGAUUCUGUUACUCUAGAGAAUCCUGACAUAUACAUCCAUCCUCAUGUGCACUUAGUUGUCAGUUCUUUCCAAAGUCCCUAUGUUCACACAUAAGCAGGCACAACUUUAAUAGCUCCAAAAAUAACAACUGAGAAAAUAGCAAUAUACUGAAAGUUAGCAACUUUGGUUUUCUCAAAUUCUCUAAGUCUUUGUUUCAGAUAAAAACCAAUAACUACUCAAAGUGA